AUCCUUUUGUAGAUCAUAAGCAUGAUGAUUGGGUUUUCACGCGCAUGCGUGAGAAGUGCCUCCCUCAAACCUUGUUACAACGUCGAUACUUUACCUGUCUGACA
ensembl:snoRNA